UGAGGCAGGAAUCUGAAGUAGUAGCUGCCCGAAUCCCUCGGCUCCCCGGCCGCCAUCGCGCUCCUCGCUCGGCUUUUGGUAAAGUCAGCUACAGAGAAGAAAACGUUAUUCAGAAAAUCAAAAGGAACAGAAAAUACAUUCACAGCACUUACUGUACUGGCCGUAAUCACGUAGAAGUGGACCCACACAGUUCACAUCUGUGUUGUUCAAGGGCCGACCGCGACAGCUAAUAUUGUUGCACAUGUGCUGUUUUACCAGGCAGCGUCCUAAACAUUUUCCGUGGUUUGUCGCUUAAUUCUCUUAGGAACCAAAGCUGAAAGAUGAAGGUCCAUGAGCCCUUGGACAAUCAGUCCGUGUCAGUGAAAGCUCCCCAUAGGAGAGGAACACCAAGCAGACGUUUCUGGGAAGAGGUUACCUUCUGUUUAUAGCUGGCUUACAAACAUGACUCAAAUGAUUAAAAAACCUGCCAAUUAAAUCCCAUGUAAUUUCUA